rnacentral:rRNA from 1 species
UGAUACUAAGCCAUGCGAGUCAUUGCAGCAAUGCAAGGCAGACGGCUCAGUAACGCGUAGUCAACCUACCCUAUGGACGGGAAUAACCUCGGGAAACUGAGUAUAAUGCCCGAUAGAACACUAUUCCUGGAAUGGUUUGUGUUCCAAAUGAUUUAUCGCCGUAGGAUGGGACUGCGGCCUAUCAGUUUGUUGGUGAGGUAAUGGCCCACCAAGACUAUUACAGGUACGGGCUCUGAGAGGAGUAGCCCGGAGAUGGGUACUGAGACACGGACCCAGGCCCUAUGGGGCGCAGCAGGCGAGAAAACUUUGCAAUGUGCGAAAGCACGACAAGGUUAAUCCGAGUGGUUUGUGCUAAACGAACCUUUUGACAGUCCUAGAAACACUGUUGAAUAAGGGGUGGGCAAGUUCUGGUGUCAGCCGCCGCGGUAAAACCAGCACCUCAAGUGGUCAGGAUGAUUAUUGGGCCUAAAGCAUCCGUAGCCGGCUCUGUAAGUUUUCGGUUAAAUCUGUACGCUCAACGUACAGGCUGCCGGGAAUACUGCAGAGCUAGGGAGUGGGAGAGGUAGGCGGUACUCGGUAGGAAGGGGUAAAAUCCUUUGAUCUAUUGAUGACCACCUGUGGCGAAGGCGGUCUACCAGAACACGUCCGACGGUGAGGGAUGAAAGCUGGGGGAGCAAACCGGAUUAGAUACCCGGGUAGUCCCAGCUGUAAACUAUGCAAACUCAGUGAUGCAUUGGCUUGUGGCCAAUGCAGUGCUGCAGGGAAGCCGUUAAGUUUGCCGCCUGGGAAGUACGUACGCAAGUAUGAAACUUAAAGGAAUUGGCGGGGGAGCACCACAAGGGGUGAAGCCUGCGGUUCAAUUGG